rnacentral:rRNA from 1 species
GACGAACGCUGGCGGCGUGCUUAACACAUGCAAGUCGAACGGAAAGGCCCUGCUUUUGUGGGGUGCCCGAGUGGCGAACGGGUGAGUAACACGUGAGUAACCUGCCCUUGACUUUGGGAUAACUUCAGGAAACUGGGGCUAAUACCGGAUAGGAGCUCCUGCUGCAUGGUGGGGGUUGGAAAGUUUCGGCGGUUGGGGAUGGACUCGCGGCUUAUCAGCUUGUUGGUGGGGUAGUGGCUUACCAAGGCUUUGACGGGUAGCCGGCCUGAGAGGGUGACCGGCCACAUUGGGACUGAGAUACGGCCCAGACUCCUACGGGAGGCAGCAGUGGGGAAUAUUGCACAAUGGGCGGAAGCCUGAUGAAGCAACGCCGCGUGCGGGAUGACGGCCUUCGGGUUGUAAACCGCUUUCGCCUGUGACGAAGCGUGAGUGACGGUAAUGGGUAAAGAAGCACCGGCUAACUACGUG